GGAGAAAGGAAAACCUCGGCUCUCCUCUGGAUGUCAGAGCCGGGCUUGAGGGAGCUGAAGUGAAUGGAUUGGGAAAACAGAGGGAUCGUUGUUCCCCUGAUCCCGCUGUUUUCCGAUGGAUUGUUUGGAGAGCAAGAUGCUGUUAAUGACAUCAUCCAUUAAAGGGAUUUGGGAUGUCACCUCCUGGGUCACCCACCCCAUCCCAGGUCAUGGAAAAAUCUUGGGUUGCCAGGAAAAUGUCCUGAGUUAGGAAAAAAUUCAAAGAUUCCUGUUUUAUUUGAAAAGUGGGGAAAACAGAGCUGGAGCUGCUGGAGAGUUCCACGUCCCAAAAUCUCCUGGGAUUUCUUCAACAACUACCAUCCCCGUUUGGAUUUUGGAGGCAAAAUUCCUGUCCGGAAUUCAAUGAAUUUAUCCCCAUUUUGUUACAACUGGGAUCAAAAUUUCUUCUCCAUCUGUGGAUCUCCAAGUCUGUAAAGGCAAUGAGAAAUGAUUUCUUUCCAGCACUUUUGCUGGAAUCUGGGAUUAAGAAAAGUCCCUUGGGAAGCAGAAUUGACUCAGAAGGCUCUUCCAGGAAGAAGGCGAUCCCGGUGGGAUUGUUAAAUGUCCAGAACGUCCAUCAGGAAUGUGAUGUCAGUGACAAAAUCCUGAUAGAGGGGAUUUUGGAGAGGCCGACUUGAAAGAGUGGGAAAGGGGCCAGAAACCACAGAGCACUGGGGUCGGCUUGGGAAUGGCUCUGGAAUGGGAUGUCCUGGGCAGAAUGCAAGGGAAAUGUGGACAAAUCCCAUAAAACAGAGAGAUUAGAAAAGGGGAUUUCACAUCAAAGGCCUGGGUGGCACAGAGAUGGAAAACAGCGGAAUGUCCCGAGAUUGGUGUUGAGAUCCAGCCUUUCCGAGCAGACAGGCUGCAAAUCCCAAAACAAAUUGGAAUUUGGGAUGGGAAGUACAGGUGGAGUGGGCAGGAGAGGCUCAGCGGGCAGAGCAGGAGAGAGAAAAGUCGUGGAGGAAAGUCAUGGGUAUUCCUGGAGAAGCUGUGGCUGCCCCUGGAUCCCUGGGAGUGUCCAGAUUUUUCCCCCCUCCGGGUGUUUUCCAGCCGUGCUUAUCCAGGAGGAACAGCUCCGCCUCUUCCCUGCCCUGCCGCACAAAUGAAUCGGACACUUUGUUCCCGGGAAUGCUCCAGGGAGCAGCUGGACAUUAUUUUGGGAAUGUUUGCAGUCGGAUCAGCAGGUCCAGCAAACACCCACAGGCUGGAAACCCAUCCCGAUUUUUGUGAGGUUUUUUGGGAUUGUUGCUUUUUUAUCCCUGCUGCAAACAAAUCUGGUUGUUGUUAAUCCCGGGAUUUCAGCAGGGAUGGCUCUGCUGCAUCCCAGAAAUUG
rnacentral:lncRNA from 12 species